GGCAGGGUUGUGAUGAGAGAAUGUAUCCACUCUCCAAUGCAAAAGUUGCGACGCCAGACUUUGACGGUGGCAUCUGAUACGUAUAUACCACAUUCUUUUACUUCAUCAUUAUUAGUGAAGUUCUUACUGAGUGAGAAAAGCACCUUCAAUUUACCAUAUGCAGAGAGACAGGGACAACCUAACAGAGUAUAAAAAACAAGUUCGAUAUGUUCUAGAUACAUUUUAUGAUGAAGGGCAACUUUCAUUAAGUACCGGGUCCAAAAUGGAGGAGGAUAUUAGUUGCGGUGCAAUAUUGCAGCAACAACUUU
rnacentral:misc_RNA from 1 species